rnacentral:rRNA from 1 species
AGGGCACCACCAGGAGUGGAGCCUGCGGCUUAAUUUGACUCAACGCGGGAAAACUCACCCGGCCAGGACACCGUAAGGAUUGACAGACUGAGAGCUCUUUCUUGAUUCGGUGGGUGGUGGUGCAUGGCCGUUCUUAGUUGGUGGAGUGAUUUGUCUGGUUAAUUCCGAUAACGAACGAGACUCUAGCCUGCUAAAUAGACGGGCGAUCCCGUUGUGGGUCGACCCGAUUUGCUUCUUAGAGGGACAAGUGGCGUUCCUAGCCACGCGAAAUUGAGCAAUAACAGGUCUGUGAUGCCCUUAGAUGUCCGGGGCCGCACGCGCGCUACAAUGAGGGACGCAGUGUGCCCGCAAAGCCUGACCCGAAAGGGUUGGGUAAUCAUUUCAAUUUCCCUCGUAAUAGGGAUUGAGCAUUGUAACUAUUGCUCAUGAACGAGGAAUUCCUAGUAAGCGCGAGUCAUAAGCUUGCGUUGACUACGUCCCUGCCCUUUGUACACACCGCCCGUCGCUACUACCGAUUGA